AAAUGUUAUAGGGACCCUAAAAUGCCAUGGUUGGAGCAGCUUGGACUUCCCCAUUUCUUCAUCUACUUCCCUUUUACUGGGGAGGAAGGAGAUGGGGUAGGCAGGGGAAGGUGACCCCGCUGGUUCCCCAGUUAAUGCUCUGCUUGGGUGGCUGCCUUCCUGCCCUUCGAAUGGGGCCCUGGACCUGUUUGAGCAUGCAUCAGAUGUCACCUCUCUGGUAGCACAUCCCCUCCCUCCCCAUGUUCACUUGCAGUGAGUCUACUGCAUUGUUGAAACACAGAAAAGAUCUUGCAGGGUGCAUUCCUGGCCUCUUCUGCUAGCAGCUGCAGUCACACAGACACCAUUUCUGUGGGUUUUUUUUUUUUUUUUUUUCAUUCCGCUUCCCCUCACUCAGCUGCUGUCGGAAUUUCUGGUCUUUCCUCUCCCUGUCUUCCUGUGACAAAGGAAUGCCACAGCCUUAGGCUUGCUGCCUCUUUGCCUUAGGAAAGGUUAGCCUUUACAGAAGUCAUCUUGCCAGAGGAGAUGGAAGAGUGGAGUCUGUAAUCAUCUGGAAUUUCCUACUUUGGUAACAGGGAAGCAGGCAUCUGUUGUUUGUCCCUGUUGAUGGAAAAAGAGCAGGUCUGACACAUUCAGCAAUGUGCUUUCCUUGCAAGCAUGAGGACCUGAGUUCAAGUCUCAAAGCCCACCUAAAAUGCCAGUGUACAGCCGGAUGGCAUGGAGGAUGGAAGGAAGCUCAUGGGUUCCAAGAGAGAAGCAUAGUCUUAGCCUUGCCGUGUUUCUGAACUCCUCAUGGUCUCAUUCAGCAAAGCAUUCCCAAGUGCCCACUGUGUACCCGGCAAUGUGAUAACAGAUCAAGUUGCUUCCUUUCCUUAUGAACUCUUACAGUCUCUUUGACUGAGGUUUAAUAAAACAAAAUACAAC
rnacentral:lncRNA from 1 species